GCGGCUUAAUUUGACUCAACGCGGGGUAAUUUACCAGAUAUAACAUGGUAUAAUAUUUUAUCAUGAUAGUGGUGCAUGGCCGUUUCCAAUGGAUGCUGUGAAGUAAUGAUUAAUUUCAACAAGAUGUGAGACCCUCAUUAAGACAGAUGUAGUGAUACAUAUGAAGGAGAGGAUUAAAACAGGUCCGUUAUGCCCUAAGAUAAUCUGGGUUGCACGCGCAAUACAAUAAUAUUUGAGAUUAUAAGGGAUAAUAUAAUGUAAGAUAUAUUUGAACAUGGAAUUGCUAGUAAAUUUUAUUUAAUAAGUAGAAUUGAAUGAGUCCCUGUUCUUUGUACACACCGCCCGUCGCUAUCUAAGAUGGUAUUAUCUAUGAACAAAUUUAUAAAGUGAAUAGAUAGUACUAGAUCUGAUAUAAGUCGUAACAUGGUUGCUGUUGGAGAACCAUUAGCAGGAUCAUAA
rnacentral:rRNA from 1 species